GGACUGUGUGAGAUACGUUUCGAACAGGAGCUCCGCCAUUAUGGCUCCACCAUGUGGUCAACACCUGUCUCCUGUGGGAGAUAUGUGUCAGCCCGGAGCUCUGUCAUUAAACUACCUCAUGCUUUUACAUCAA
rnacentral:lncRNA from 1 species